ensembl:lncRNA
GUGACAUUUGAGAGAGACAUACUGGACAGAAAUGAGUGAUUGGUCUGAGAUGUAACAAGCUUGGAUGUAUGUGUUAUUGUUGUUCUGAGACAUGAUCUUGCUACAUUGCCAGAUUGGCCUUGAACUCUCAAGGUCAAGUGCUUCUGCUGACUUUAGCCUCCCCAGUAGCUGGGACUACAGUAUUUAAAAUCGAAUCACCCAGGCAUGGAUUUUGUGUUGGCCUUUGAGGCCUAGGUGUUAUCUGGAUGACUCCUACUUGAAACUAUUAUUACUCAUUAAUCCUUGAGAUAAUUAAUUUUUAUUAGAUGCCUAAACCUGUGACCUGGCUGACCCAGGACAGCUACAUUUAAUUAACAAGGAAGCAUAUCAGGAAAAACUUCAAAGCAAUAGCUUAAGGAUUGGGAAAACAUAAAUGGUGUGACACGACAGCCCUACACAGCCAAAAGAAUCACCUAUGUGUGGAGAAGUGUCAAGGACAAGUGGCUGGCUGAACACUUUCACCAGAGAUGAAUUUCAUAGGCAAAUGAGAGGAAGAUUUUCCUCUUGCAGAAUUCCAUGGCAGAGUUUGAUCUUGGCACUGUUUUCUGUGGAACCAUGAAGAAGUGUGAGAAUUCUUCAUAUAGUUCUUCAGGUAACUACCAUCAGUCAAUUGAAGAUGGCAAGAAAAAC